CGGGUGAGUAAUACAUCGGAACGUGUCUUCUAGUGGGGGAUAACUGCCCGAAAGGGCAGCUAAUACCGCAUGAGACCUGAGGGUGAAAGCGGGGGAUCGCAAGACCUCGCGCUGAAGAGCGGCCGAUGUCCGAUUAGCUAGUUGGUGAGGUAAAGGCUCACCAAGGCGACGAUCGGUAGCUGGUCUGAGAGGACGACCAGCCACACUGGGACUGAGACACGGCCCAG
rnacentral:rRNA from 1 species